rnacentral:rRNA from 1 species
CAGCGGCCCUAGUGGUGAUCGUUAUUAUUGGGCCUAAAGCGUCCGUAGCCGGUUCGGCAAAUCUCUGGGUAAAUCGUUGGGCUUAACUCAACGAAUUCUGGGGAGACUGCCGAACUUGGGACCGGGAGAGGUCGGAGGUACUCCAGGGGUAGGGGUGAAAUCCUGUAAUCCUUGGGGGACCACCGGUGGCGAAAGCGUCCGACCAGAACGGGUCCGACGGUAAGGGACGAAGCCCUGGGGCGCGAACCGGAUUAGAUACCCGAGUAGUCC